UGGCGGCGUGCGCUCGCAUCGGUUGGUUGCUGAGUCAGCUGACCAUGGUCGAAACUUACCCAACCGUCCCCACCGACGAGAUUGGGGCCCCACACCGUUAGCAUCCGUUUCCUCUGAGUGUAAGCGAUGACGCACUCCGGUGGAGUAACCUUAAAGGCGAUUAUUACGCAGAUUGAAAAGACCGACACGGACUGGACCCCCACCAUCAUCCUGGUUCAUAAAACCACCGCCACAACAAGCGCGCCCCAUCCGUAGCCCAAACAGUGUCGAGGUUUUGCCGCUGCUGCUCUUCUUCGGCGAAUCUGCGAGCGGCCGACGAGAGAGAAAAAGGUAGCCGAGAUGAUCGAGCUGUUCGUCCUUGGGUGCACCGGCGUGGUGGUCUUCCUACACGGCGCCAACUUUUUCUUCCGCGCCCUCUCCCACCGUCUCACCGCCCGUUCUCUCAGCUUCCUGGGAGUCGGGUGGUGGUAGGGCUUCGGUCGCAGAAGAAUCCGUGGUGAUUCCUCCUCCAUGCGCCACACGACUCAUGAUCCGAGUCUGUCCAUGAAUUAAUCGACGAAGGCGAAGCAUGUAAUCAUUGUAGAAAGACUCUGACCAACUAUAAUUUGGUGUCUUUAUCGUGAAUGGAGAUCUACUAUUCUACAGUUAAAA